AGAAAGCGAGUGCUUUCCUUCUCGCUUUAAACGAAAUGGGGGUUGUCGCUUUUCCUCGCUUCACACUAUUUUUAACACUGCUUUAUCGUCAUAUCGCCAAGCCGGAUCUUUCUCUUUCGAACUUUGAGACAUUUUGAAAUCCCUAUUAAGAUAUAAGAAAAUACAUAAUCAAAUAAACUGAAAAUACAUAUAAUAUAUAUAAUAAUCAAUUUUAUAAACUGGAAUACACAUUAAAAAAAUCAAAUAUAUAUAAUGAAUUUUCUAAAAUGAAAUGCAUAUAAAAUUAAUCAAAUAAACUGAAAAUAUAACAUAUAUAUAAUAAUUAAUUUUAUAUACUGAAAUAUAUACUAAAAAAUAUCAAAUAAACUGAAAAAUAUAACAUAUAUAAAUAUUGGAAGAACGAAGGAAAAAGAAGAAAAAGAAUAAAAAAAGAAAGCAAGAAGAAAGAAGAAGAAGAAGGAAGAAAGAAGGAAGAAAGAAAGAAAAAAUAGGAGAAUCUGGACAGGAACAAGAAGAAGAAAGAAAAAAUGAGAAGAAGAAAAUUACCUGGACAGAGAAAUGGUCAGCAAUGAUCGAGCCUCGAGCGAUUUUUUGUCGAUGAAGAAGAGAAAAAAAAAGCAGAAACCCUCGGUUUUGUCGAUGAAGAAGAGAGAAGGGUCUGUUUUGUCGAGCAAUUACAGAAGCAAGCUUAGGGGUGUGUUUUGUAUAAUUUACAAAUAGACCCAAUCUUUUUUUUUAUUUAAAAGGGCCCAGCUGCGAUUUUUUAACAGAAGCAAUCGCUUCGUCGCUUUUGUCGCUUUGUCCACUGAAGCGUGCGCUUCACACGGCCGAGUUGCCUCAGACAGUGAAAAGCAAUACCUGGUCGUUUCGUGCUUAAUGCGACGAAGCGAUCACUUUUCCAAACACUGUGUCAACCAAAUAGACGCGUUGGUUUGUGCCAAUGUUUCCACACUUUGUGACCAUUACUCAGCUGCUCCAUCUAACCAAACAUCACACGUUAACCGAAUAAUCAGAAUCACUCUUCUCUUUAAUACCCGAGAAAUUCCUUGGGCCAAUGGUGCACGGUUCGAAAUUCGGUGAUUAAUGGGCCCGUCUCUCUAUCCUUAUUCGCUUAAAUAGGUUUGAACCCCUGGCAUACGCCUAACCAACAUAUCACUUGAUGUGCUUUUAACACUAGACCAAAGCUUUGGGGGCAAUAAGAAUCUCUCAUUAUUCAGUUGAUAAGGCUAAUAUUUUCUUCUAGUUUUGCUAGCCAUCAACAAAGAGUCUGUUGCAGCUAUUGGAUAAGGUUAUUUCUCAUAUAACCAUCA
rnacentral:lncRNA from 1 species